AAACACAAAUGUAGGUGGUUUUACAAGUGUGAUUUUGUUCAGAAGUAAUCUGGAUCUUUGUGUUUUCAUCUGCAGAAGUUCUUGGGGUUGUGUGACAUUGUGACUGUGGGUGAUCAGAAAGGAGACACGAAAAUACACUGGAAACUAAACGCCAGCAGAGCCAGCAGAUGGCAGCAGUGCAGCUCACACCAACACAGCUCAGCCUGGCCAACCUCAGCACCUACUGUACUGAACACACACAUCAGAGCCGUGAAAGUCACCAAGGGACGAUACAUUUAACGGAGGACAUGUUGGUGGUGUCGUUCUUUGUGUCACAGGAACACGGUGUCCUCCUGCAGGACUCAGAGCCUAAACCGGCUACGCUGCUUUCUCUACUGGCUUUAGAUACACUGUAUCACUAUUAUAUCUACAAGGUACAUACAAACAAGAUACAGACACCCUUCAUUCCCCUUUCUGUCAUUCUGUAUGCAUCUCUAUUUCUAACCCUUUUACAAUUUUUAUCGGAAUGCAUUGUUUUAUUUUUUCUCAUUCUUAUUGUAUUCUGAUUGUUCUGCCACUGCUAAGCUCUUAUUUCGGAGGGUAGGCCUCGUUCUCUCUGAUGUUAGUACCCU